AUUGAACGCUGGCGGCAGGCCUAACACAUGCAAGUCGAGCGGAUGACGGGAGCUUGCUCCUUGAUUCAGCGGCGGACGGGUGAGUAAUGCCUAGGAAUCUGCCUGGUAGUGGGGGACAACGUUUCGAAAGGAACGCUAAUACCGCAUACGUCCUACGGGAGAAAGCAGGGGACCUUCGGGCCUUGCGCUAUCAGAUGAGCCUAGGUCGGAUUAGCUAGUUGGUGGGGUAAUGGCUCACCAAGGCGACGAUCCGUAACUGGUCUGAGAGGAUGGUCAGUCACAUUGGAACUGAGACACGGUCCGGACUCCUACGGGAGGCAGCAGGGGGGAAUAUUGGACAAUGGGCGAAAGCCUGAUCCAGCCAUGCCGCGUGUGUGAAGAAGGUCUUCGGAUUGUAAAGCACUUUAAGUUGGGAGGAAGGGCAGUAAGUUAAUACCUUGCUGUUUUGACGUUACCGACAGAAUAAGCACCGGCUAACUCUGUGCCAGCCGCCGCCGCCGUAA
rnacentral:rRNA from 1 species